AUACGUAGGGGGCGAGCGUUGUCCGGAAUGAUUGGGCGUAAAGGGCGCGUAGGCGGCCUGUUAAGUCUGGAGUGAAAGUCCUGUUUUCAAGAUGGGAAUUGCUUUGGAUGCUGUCGGGCUUGAGUGCUGGAGAGGUAAGUGGAAUUCCCAGUGUAGCGGUGAAAUGCGUAGAGAUUGGGAGGAACACCAGUGGCGAAGGCGACUUACUGGACUGUAACUGACGCUGAGGCGCGAAAGUGUGGGGAGCAAACAGGAUUAGAUACCCUGGUAGUCCACACUGUAAACGAUGAAUGCUAGGUGUAGGGGGUAUCGACCCCUUCUGUGCCGCAGUCAACACAAUAAGCAUUCCGCCUGGGGAGUACGGCCGCAAGGUUGAAACUCAAAUGAAUUGACGGGG
rnacentral:rRNA from 1 species